rnacentral:tRNA from 1 species
GAGGGUAUAGCUCAGUGGUAGAGCACUUGCUUAGCAUGCAUGAGGUCCUGGGUUCAAUCCCCAGUACCUCCU